CUGUGGGGCAUUUUUUUUUUUUUUAAAGGUGCUUCUUGAUUCAAGUUCCUCCAUGGGUGAGGAGUGUUUUGAUAAAGACUGCAAAAUGAAGCGAAUUGAUGCCAUCAAACAAAUAUUUGAUAGCUUUGCAAACCGAUGCAUGGCUUAUAAUUUUGAUCAAGUAAUCUGCCUUGUGAAAUUCGACUUUCGUGUGAAAACUCUUCAUACAUUCACAGAAACAGUGGAAACAUUUAAGGAGCAUGUUCAUGGACUUCAGCCAUCUGGAACCACUUUAUUGUAUGAUGCUUUAAAUCAUGGAUGCCAAGAACUUAACCAAAUCAGACAGAGAUUUCCAGAUUGCAAAUGUCGCAUUUUAUGCCUGACAGAUGGAAAUGAUUGCGGAUCAAUAUCGAAUCCGGUUGACACUGCAAAAAAGCUGAUGGAUCAGAAAAUUGUUGUUGAUGCUGUGCUAAUUGGUGCAGUACAUAACACUGUGUUGCAUGGGAUCAGCAAUGUUACAGGUGGUUGCUGUUUUAAGCCUGAAACAAGCAAAGCAGCCUUGCAACUCUUUGAGAUGGAAACAGUCUUGUCAUUGGAACUAAGGAAGGAAAAGAAAUACUUUGAUAAAUCAUCAAUUAACAAAGUGGUAUAAUAUAGGACAUGGUUAUAUUUCAGUCAUAUAUAUACAGGUGCAUCUCAAUAAAUUAGAAUGUCAUGGAAAAGUUCA
ensembl:lncRNA